CGACCUCAGGUCAGGCAAGACAACCCGCUGAGUUUAAGCAUAUCACUAAGCGGAGGAAAAGAAACUAACAAGGAUUUCCCUAGUAGCGGCGAGCGAAACGGAAAGAGCCCAGCUUGGAAAUCGGGGUGUCUCUGCACCCCGAAUUGUAGUCUGGAGAAGGGUCCUCUGCAGCGGACCGGGUUUAAGUCCCUUGGAACGGGACGCCAGAGAGGGUGAGAGCCCCGUCUAGCCCGGACCCUGCUGCAUCACGAGGCUCUUUCGGCGAGUCGGGCUGUUUGGGAAUGCAGCCUUAAGUGGGUGGUAAAUUCCAUCCAAGGCUAAAUACUGGUGAGAGACCGAUAGCGCACAAGUACCGCGAGGGAAAGAUGAAAAGGACUUUGAAAAGAGAGUUAAAAAGUGCUUGAAAUUGCUGGGAGGGAAGCGAAUGGAUGCCUUGUGCGCCCCUUGGUUGUGUGUGGAACGGCGAGAGCUGGUCUGCCAAGCAAUGCAAGGGGCUGUCCAGCAUGGGAGGACGCGGCGGGAUAACGGCUUGUGAGCCUCUGGCUCCCUGCCAAUGCCGCCGCUGCCUCUGAAAAUGGCGGGGUGCUCCGGUGCCCCGCCAGAUGCUGGAACUUGGGCGUUCCAUCCGACCCGUCUUGAAACACGGACCAAGGAGUCUAACAUGUAUGCGAGUCUGUGGGUGUUAAACCCGUACAGGCGAAAGGAAACUAAUUCGUGGGAUCCCCUUCGGGGGUGCACCACGGACCGACCUUGAUCUUUUGAGAAGGGUUUGAGUGUUAGCAUACCUGCUGGGACCCGAAAGAUGGUGAACUAUGCCUGAGCAGGGCGAAGCCAGAGGAAACUCUGGUGGAGGCUCGUAGCGAUACUGACGUGCAAAUCGUUCGUCAGACUUGGGUAUAGGGGCGAAAGACUAAUCGAACCAUCUAGUAGCUGGUACCCUCCGAAGUUUCCCUCAGGAUAGCUGGAGCUCUUGCUGAGUUUUAUCGGGUAAAGCGAAUGAUUAGAGGCAUCGGGGGUGAAACACCCUCGACCUAUUCUCAAACUUUAAAUAGGUAAAGCAGCCUGGGGUUGCUCUGUUGAGCCCCGGCCGUGAUGCGAGCUCCAAGUGGCCAUUUUUGGUAAGCAGAA
rnacentral:ncRNA from 1 species